AUAACACCUGGCUCCUUAACAAGGUACCUGUCACUGGUGAGAGACAGACUGUCAGGUGAACGUAGCUCUCAUAUGCUUAGCACUAGCGGUUAAUGUGGACAGACAGAAAGCUGGCAAAAUGGUCUGAUUAAUAGUGAAAGCCUGCAGCUAUGUUGCAGAGAAAAUUGGAGGGCUGUGUCUAAAGAAGGAAGAGGAUGAACCUCCAACCCAAUUCUCUGCCCCCGUGGUUGUAAAUCAGAAACCCAAUGACGGUCAUGGACAAAUAAUAACUACAAGGGUAGAGCCUCCAAUACCAAUUGCCCCUUCAAAGCCACGCAAGUCCUGAGGGUAGUAGGACCCAGUCACGUGACUGGGAUUAGACAACAACUUUCCCUCUUACAUCUGGAAUAUUGCUCAUUGUACUUUCUUCUCAAAUACAUUCUAAUGGAAUCUACUUUUUUAUGCUAGUAGCUGAAUGUCGCUAGUUUUAUAUAACUUUAGGUUGCCUUCUUUGACCUUUAAGUUUGAAAUUCAGCAGCAGUUCCAGAGACAUCAAUUAAUCACAUGUCACAAGUGAGAUAAUGAUCGUUUCUCUUCAAGAUAUUUCAAGACGUUUUCUCCUUAUAACAAGUUUGGUAAAAAUAGAAGGAAGCUUUAAAGAAAAGGACAAGAUUUUUAUCUCAAAAGCAGUGAUAAUAUAUAUUUACAGAAAAUAGGUUUUACUAUAGCCUACAUCUUUAUUUGGCAAAAUAUAUUGUACACAAAAAUACAAACUUGUACAAUGCACAAUAGCAAAAAUUAAAUGAUACUGUUAGAAUCGCAGGGAAGGAGCAUGGCUGUAUUUGUACACUCUUUGGCAACUAACUAUAAAAGACAAGUAUUUUGUCAACACUGUCACUGGGGUUAAUUGUAGGACACAGCAAGUACAGAGAUGGAUGACAGCAGCAUCUAAAACCUUCUUCCCAGGAGGAAGAUGUUGCUUGAAAUUAACCUGCUCUGUUGACCUCAAUGAAAAGGAUCCUGUGUUUAAUCACAGUCUUUAAUAAAAUAAAUCAAUCAGAA